rnacentral:tRNA from 1 species
AAAUAAGAAGCGAUAAAUUGCAAUCAGUUUCGACCUGAUCUUAGAUGUAUUACAUCCUUAUUUA